rnacentral:rRNA from 1 species
AUUGAACGCUGGCGGCAUGCCUUACACAUGCAAGUCGAACGGUAACAGGUCUUCGGAUGCUGACGAGUGGCGAACGGGUGAGUAACACAUCGGAACGUGCCUAGUAGUGGGGGAUAACUACUCGAAAGAGUGGCUAAUACCGCAUGAGAUCUACGGAUGAAAGCAGGGGAUCGCAAGACCUUGUGCUACUAGAGCGGCCGAUGGCAGAUUAGGUAGUUGGUGGGAUAAAAGCUUACCAAGCCGACGAUCUGUAGCUGGUCUGCGAGGACGAUCAGCCACACUGGGACUGAGACACGGCCCAGACUCCUACGGGAGGCAGCAGUGGGGAAUUUUGGACAAUGGGCGCAAGCCUGAUCCAGCAAUGCCGCGUGCAGGAUGAAGGCCUUCGGGUUGUAAACUGCUUUUGUACGGAACGAAAAGCCCUGGGUUAAUACCCUGGGGUCAUGACGGUACCGUAAGAAUAAGCACCGGCUAACUACGUGCCAGCCGCCGCGGUAAUAC